rnacentral:rRNA from 1 species
GACAGAGGAGCCAAGCGUUGUCCGGAUUGACUGGGCGUAAAGCGCACGCAGGCGGAUGCGCGCGUGGGGUGUGAAAUCUGGCCGCUUAACGGCCAGGCGCCAUCCCAUACGGCGCGUCUGGAGUGAUGCAGAGGUCGAUGGAAUUGCCGGUGUAGUGGUGAAAUGCGUAGAGAUUGGGAAGAACACCGGUGGCGAAAGCGCUCUGCUGGGCCAUAACUGACACUCAGGGACGAAAGCUAGGGGAGCGAAUGGG